rnacentral:pre_miRNA from 3 species
AAUGCAAUUGCUGAGUUGUAUGGUAAUUGCAUGCCUAGUUUUUAAAGAAGCUGUCAAAUUGUUUUUCAAAGUAGCUUUAUCAUUUCACAUUCUCACCAGCAAU